rnacentral:rRNA from 1 species
CUACGGGGGGCUCCAGUGGGGAAUAUUGGACAAUGGGGGAAACCCUGAUCCAGCAAUGCCGCGUGUGUGAAGAAGGCCUGCGGGUUGUAAAGCACUUUCGGUUGGGAGGACUGCUUCUAGCACUAAUAUUGUUGGAAGUUGACGUUACCUUCAGAAGAAGCACCGGCUAACUCCGUGCCAGCAGCCGCGGUAAUACGGAGGGUGCAAGCGUUAAUCGGAAGUACUGGGCGUAAAGCGCGCGUAGGCGGCUAGAUCAGUCGGGUGUGAAAGCCCCGGGCUUAACCUGGGAACUGCAUCCGAUACUGUCUAGCUUGAGUACAGGAGAGGAGAGUGGAAUUCCACAUGUAGCGGUGAAAUGCGUAGAUAUGUGGAGGAACACCAAUGGCGAAGGCAGCUCUCUGGCCUGAUACUGACGCUGAGGUGCGAAAGCGUGGGGAGCAAACAAGAUUAGAUACCCCGGUAGUC